rnacentral:pre_miRNA from 1 species
UGUGUACUCCCUCCGUCCCAUAUUAAGUGACUUUUUAUUACAUGUAUCUAGACGCUUUUUAGACAUAGAUAUCUAUAUUUGAACAAAUUUGAGUCAUUUAAUUUGGGACGGAGGGAGUAAAUA